ACGGGUGCGUAACACGUGGGCAAUCUGCCCUUUGAUGGGGAAUAACCCGCCGAAAGGCGGGCUAAUUCCGCAUAAGAUUCCCGGAACUUCGGUUCUGGGAUUGAAAGCAGCAAUGCGUCGAAGGAGGAGCCCGCGCCCGAUUAGCUAGUUGGUGAGGUAACGGCUCACCAAGGCUAUGAUCGGUAGCUGGUCUGAGAGGAUGAUCAGCCACACUGGAACUGAGACACGGUCCAGACUCCUACGGGAGGCAGCAGUGGGGAAUCUUGCACAAUGGGCGAAAGCCUGAUGCAGCGACGCCGCGUGGGGGAUGAAGCAUUUCGGUGUGUAAACCCCUUUCGACUGGGAAGAAUACCUCGCAAGAGGGGUGACGGUACCAGUAGAAGAAGCCCCGGCUAACUACGUGCCAGCAGCCGCGG
rnacentral:rRNA from 1 species